CUGUAAACAGGGCAAUAUCAGAUCCAGAUGUGAAACAGGAGCCAGUGGAGAGAUGUAUAACUAGUUAACAAGCUGAGAGAAAGGACAGGGUACUCAGCCCUGACAGGAUACCUACGUCAAUCCCGUAUCUCUUCCGAAACUCAAGGAGCACACCAGAAGAAGAUAGAAACAAAAUGUAAGAGCUGGAGUUUCAUGGGGGAAGGCCAUGUAUUAAAUCAUAAGGCACUUAUCUGACUUCAGA